rnacentral:rRNA from 1 species
GACGUAGGGGGCCAGCGUUGUUCGGAAUUACUGGGUGUAAAGGGUUCGUAGGCGGCGUGGCAAGUCGGGAGUGAAAUCUCUGGGCUCAACCCAGAGUCUGCUUCCGAAACUGCUGUGCUUGAGUGUGGGAGAGGCGCGUGGAAUUGCAGGUGUAGCGGUGAAAUGCGUAGAUAUCUGCAGGAACACCCGUGGCGAAAGCGGCGCGCUGGACCACUACUGACGCUGAGGAACGAAAGCUAGGGGAGCAAACAGG